rnacentral:rRNA from 1 species
CGUAGCCGCGGUAAUACAGAGGGUGCGAGCAUUAAUCGGAUUUACUGGGCGUAAAGCGUGCGUAGGCGGCUUCUUAAGUCGGAUGUGAAAUCCCUGAGCUUAACUUAGGAAUUGCAUUCGAUACUGGGAAGCUAGAGUAUGGGAGAGGAUGGUAGAAUUCCAGGUGUAGCGGUGAAAUGCGUAGAGAUCUGGAGGAAUACCGAUGGCGAAGGCAGCCAUCUGGCCUAAUACUGACGCUGAGGUACGAAAGCAUGGGGAGCAAACAGGAUUAGAUACCCCCGUAGUCCCUGUCUCUUAUACA